GUGUAUGAGGGGAUGGAAAAUGAAGAAAAAGAGCCAUUCAAGAAUCUGACAUUAAGGCAUUUUUGUAUACAGUAUAUGAUUAUAAUACUGGUCAUUGCAGUAAUACUCUUGGUGUUGCCACCGUUUCUUCCAACGCUUCCGCCACCACCAACCAUCGUUCUCUUGGUCCCAAUCUUGAUCAUGGCUGGGCUAAUAUACCCGGCCUUUACGCUGCCAAAAUUGCCAGCCGCUCCGCCAAGGCCCCGUCGAGCUGAAUAUAUAUUCGUUGCUAGAGAUUAAUCUUGAUUGCAGAAAUCUCGUAUUUGCAUGUAACAAAAACUGGUGAAAAUAAACAAGAUUUUCUUCUUGAUCUUGAUCUGUUGGUGUUGAUUGAUUAAAAAUG
rnacentral:lncRNA from 1 species